AGUUCAUUAUUUUAUAAGAAAUAUGUUUUGAAUAGGGAUAAAUAGAUAAAUCGUGCAUUCAGUUACAAAUUAUUAAUUCUUUAUUAUUAAACGCAAGACGAAUGUCUUAAGAUGUAUUACGAGUUAUUUGUUGAUGUCAAAGGUUCAGCGAACAGAGAAAAGGAUAAAACCGGUGGAGGAAGCUCUGCGGUUCGUUUUAGGACAACAUGAUCCUGAAGAUAUAUGCGAAAAAUAUAUCAACGAUUUUAUAGGUCGAGGUGUUUUUGCCAAAAAAAAAAGAUCAGAAAUGGAAAAUUCUUUGCGGAAUACCAUGGCGUUUUAUCCAAAGCUGACGACGUGAAGGACAGAGAUACAAACUACACAUAUUUCUUUGACUUUAAUGGUGUCAAGUACUGCAUUGAUGCCUCAGAGGAACCAAAACUGUAUCAACCAUCGUUAGGACGGCUAGUAAAUCAUGCAGACAAAAAACAACAGAGAAAUUCAAGAAUAACAGUCAUUGGUGUGAAUGGGGUUCCUCAUCUUGUACUGUUUGCGACUAGAUUUGACUUGUAAUGAAAACUACGACAAUGAGCCAGUUCAGUCUCCUGUAGAAUGCAGAGCGUGUGAAUGUCAAAGGAAGGUCUGUAGUUCGAUUGGUCAUGAGAACAACAACAGUGGUGUAUCAUCGGCUUCCAAACGCAAAGCAGAAUUUCCAGUACAAACAGGCAAAAAGAUCAAGGUCGUUCCUUGGACAGAGAAGCAGUUAGCGGCCAUGCGAAGGUCAUUCGCCAAAAAUACCCGCUGCUUAAGAGUUCCUAACAAGGAGGAAUGCGGACGAGCAAGGAAAAAUGAGAGCCUGUUGCUUUCUCGUGAUUGGAAGAACAUCAAAUUCCGUGACCAUCAUGAAAUACAAAGAUUAAAGAAAAAAUGAAGUCAGUCUGAAAAAAAAAAGUUAACAGAAAAAGAAACAGCCGUUAAACUUGCAAUGAAAUCUAACAGACAUAUAUUUUCAAAAUGUAAAAAUGUUUAUGUGUGCGUUUUUUUUUACAUAAAGUCCCCAGACACUCGUUCAUGUACAGUAUUGUUUUUGCUGGAUGUUCAUGUUAAGAGGUCAUGAAAUAUCGACAAAUUACUAUCACGGGUUCGUUCAUGAAAAAAAUAAUAAAUUGACUGAAAUAAAAGUAUUGUAGUUCUUCAAUUGAGGUUGUCGUUCUUAAUGAAAGCUAAAGAUUUAUAUAUUCUUCUAAGUUAUACCUCUCGAACAAUUCAUUCUUGCAGAAUUUGUACAGAACUUUUGUUUAAGUAUUAGUCCAUUAUCAUUCAUUUACAUUUAUUUACGAUAAAUACGUGUUCGCGGUCCGAAUACAUCUAUUCAUCCUUAGCACUGUGUUUGUUUUCAUCUUAACAGUGAUAGAAAUUUUUAAUUAAAUGCCUAGAUCUUGGCGGUGGGCCAAGGGAUUUCUACCUUCACCAGCACAGUUUGGGGCUAAUGAUUAUCACAGUAUAGUUCCAAUAAACAAGGAUCAUUGUUUAUUGGAGGUCAGUCUACCUUACAAAUGUAUCAAUUAGUGAGAAGGGGAAACAUAAAUAUUGA